UCCGAGCUUGGCUCUGACUUUCUAAUAUAACAACAAUAAAAGAAUACACAUGGUUCUUUUUUGCUGUAGUGAGGACUAAAAAUUCUAUUGAGGUCUUCUAGAAAAGAAAUCUCUAUUAAUUUUAUUAGUAUUAUAUGAUAUAUUAUACUAUAAGUAACUACUCACUAACACCAGUGUCUAAUAUUAAUAAAGAACCGAAAGUUUGCAUUAGAUGAGUUUAAUAGGCCUGGUUAAUUUGGUGCCAGCAUCCGCGGUUAGACCAAAAAGCCAAGUUAUAUAUUUAAAGGUAUAAAAGUGGUUAAGUAAUAAACUACUUAUGGCUUCUAAAUUUGUUAAUUUAAAAGUAAAAUUUGAAAAUUGACAUUUAUUUUAACAGUAGCUACUUUAUAUAAAGUAUUAACUGAAGCCACGAAAUCUUAGAGGGAAACUAGGAUUAGAUACCCUACUAUUCUUAGAUGUAAAUAAAUUUUAAUUUACCAGAGUACUACGAACCAUAAAUUUAAAACUCAAAGAGCUUGGCGGUGCCUUAGACUCUUCAGGGGAACCUGUCUCAUAAUCGACAAUCCACGAACAACCUCACCCUUUUUUGUAAACAGUAUGUAUACCGUCGUCGCCAGGUAACUUUUAAAAAUAUAACAGUUAGCUAAAAAAUUAUUAAGUUUUUACGUCAGAUCAAGGUGCAGCCUAUAAAAGGGAGAAGAUGGGUUACAAUUAAAAUUUAUAACUACGGAUAGUGGCCAGAAAAGCCACUUGAAGGAGGACUUGAAAGUAAAAGUUAGCAAUUAAAUGCUUUGAAUUAAGCUCUGAGGCGUGCACACAUCGCCCGUCGCUCUCGUUGAAAAAUGAGAUAAGUCGUAACAUAGUAGAGGUAAUGGAAGUUGCCUCUAAAUUAAA
rnacentral:ncRNA from 1 species